rnacentral:lncRNA from 1 species
CUCCAACCUCAUUUAAAGGCUCACCUGAUUAAGUCAGGCCUGCCCAGGAUAAUUUCCUGCUUGAUUAACUCAAUAUCAAGUAAUUAGAGACUUUAAUCUGUAAAACCCCUUCUGCCAUAUAAAGUAACUUAAUCAUGGGGGAACUAUCCCAUCAUAUUCAGGUACAGGGGAAAUGGAAAACAGUUUGAUGUUUUUCUGAAUUCAUGGAGUUAUCACUGACCUUCUGUCUUCUUAAAAUCUCUACAGAGACUGUGGGUCACUGACCCUCAUGAAUACUCACACCACUCAGGACUUUGGGAUUUGGAGAAAGGCGGCUGUGCCAGGUCAUCUGGUUAGAAGCGCCCUGCUUUGUGCUCCAGUGGCCUCCUGUACUUCCUCAAUCAUAUACACUCACACCUUAGUGCUGCUGCUUGACGGACUUCUGUGCUGGAGACGUGUUGUGUAUAUGAGUUAAACAUAUCAAGCUAAUAUAUCGUGGUGGACAGAAUAACGAAGAGUGCAGACCAUGGAGCCAGGUAGCCUGAGUUUGAGAAUCUUGGUUCCACCACUUACUAGCUGCAUGGCUUUUGGCAAUGGUGGCUGGCCUCUCUGAUUUUCCUGGGAGUGUUGCCUUGGCUACGAGAAGCUGAGAGCUCAAGGUGAGCCUGGAUCUGCACCUGCAGCAGCAAUAUUUCCAGCAUAUGCUUCAGCAUCAACCUUUACUGUGGAGUGCUGGGGCCAAGAGAGGCAGAAGUCCGGUGGAGAUUUGGAUCUGGGUCCCCAAACUACCAUUUUAUUCCCAAUAGUCAAAGAUCUAAGAGUGUUUUCAAUAGGCUAUUGUGAUUAACAUCAAUUAAAAGAAAAAGAAACUAUUUCUC